AUUGGUAAAAGUAGUUCAGUAGCAUGAUUAUCUAUUAACAUCGGUUGUAAUCUCUUUCUGAUACCAUAUACCGCAUAUGGUCUUAAUUAAUCAGGAUCGCAUACUCAACAAGAAGAAAAAAGAGUUGUACACUCUGCUCGCCGAUGUACACCGGAGCGAAAACUGCAAGCUCCGGUGGCCAGACAGAGCGCUGCUCCGACAACUUCUUUUCGUUGUCGAGGCAGAUGACACGGAAUUAGAGUUGGUCAUCUGUCAAUGUGUAGGUUUCAUGAUUAAGUUUUUCAGAAGGGGACUUGUUGCCUACCUUGGUUAUAAAGCGGGACAAUCGGACUUGUUUGGAGUAGGCUCAUGAUCAAGCAGUUUUCUUCUUCCUAACGUGUAUCGGUAUAUAGUAUAUACACACUAGCUAGUUGGAUGUUGCAACAUGCCAUCAAUUUUUUAAGCCACUUUUUUUAAGAGAAUGAAUGCACGUGACUAUUCUGAAGUUUCGUUUUGGUUACUUGUCU